UACGUAGGGUGCGAGCGUUGUCCGGAAUUAUUGGGCGUAAAGAGCUCGUAGGCGGUGUGUCGCGUCGGUCGUGAAAACUUGGGGCUUAACCCUGAGCUUGCGGUCGAUACGGGCAUCACUGGAGUUCGGCAGGGGGAGACUGGAAUUCCUGGUGUAGCGGUGAAAUGCGCAGAUAUCAGGAGGAACACCGGUGGCGAAGGCGGGUCUCUGGGCCGAUACUGACGCUGAGGAGCGAAAGCGUGGGGAGCGAACAGG
rnacentral:rRNA from 1 species